GCCUUGAUAGCUCAAUGGUAGAGCACGCGGCUGUUAACCGCGGUGUUGCAGGUUCGAGCCCUGCUCGAGGCGCUA
rnacentral:tRNA from 2 species